rnacentral:tRNA from 1 species
GCCCAGGUAGCUCAGUUGGUAGAGCAGGGGAUUGAAAAUCCCCGUGUCGGCGGUUCGAUUCCGUCCCUGGGCACUA